rnacentral:tRNA from 1 species
AUUUAAGUAUAUUAGCACCAAAAUUUUUGGUAUAAUUGAAGAAAAGUAUGUUUCCCCUCCAUAUUUUAACAAUUA